GCUGCCAAGCUCGCCACUCCUCCCCAGGACAACGCCCUCCAGGAGUCUUGCCUUGGAGCUUCCUCUGCCCCAGCGGACCUUGGUCUACAGCCUGGCCGAGUCUCGCAGGGAGAGCACUGGGAGGCGCCCUUAAAAGGGCAGGAGGAGAGGAAAAGAGUUGGAGAAAUUGAAGAAGAGGAGCAGAGAAAAGAGACCACCUUUCUAAACCAGUUACCACAUGUGCCGUAUGGGAGAAAGAAAAAGAAAAAGAAAGAAAGAAAGAAAGAAAGAAAGAAA